rnacentral:rRNA from 1 species
ACGCUCGACACCUACGGGAGGCGGCAGUGGGGAAUAUUGCACAAUGGGGGAAACCCUGAUGCAGCGACGCCGCGUGAAGGAAGAAGUAUCUCGGUAUGUAAACUUCUAUCAGCAGGGAAGAAAAUGACGGUACCUGACUAAGAAGCCCCGGCUAACUACGUGUCAGCAGCCGCGGUAAUCUGAGCGGGCUGGCAAGGC